AUACGUAUGGGGCAAGCGUUGUUCGGAGUUAUUGGGCGUAAAGGGCGUGUAGGCGGCUCAUCAAGUCUGGUGUGAAAAUGCAGGGCUUAACCCUGCAGCUGCGCUGGAAACUGGUGGGCUAGAGUUCCUGAGGGGAAGCUGGAAUUCCAGGUGUAGGGGUGAAAUCUGUAGAUAUCUGGAAGAACACCGGUGGCGAAGGCGAGCUUCUAUCAGAGGACUGACGCUGAGGCGCGAAAGCGUGGGGAGCAAACAGGAUUAGAUACCCUGGUAGUCCACGCUGUAAACGAUGUGCACUAGGCGUGGGGCACGUACGUGUUCUGUGCCGUAGUUAACGUGAUAAGUGCACCGCCUGGGGAGUAUGCUCGCAAGGGUGAA
rnacentral:rRNA from 1 species